CAGGCGUGUGCCUGUUACAGUAAUUUUUUUAAAAUAAUUUGUAAGUUACACUUAAUAAAGGUAUUGGGCAGUAGCUCUCAGCUUUAUUGGGAUCCUUACCAGGUUUUACUAUUGCUAUUAUUUUUGUUCUCUUAAAUAAAGCUGAUAAUUUCCAGUUUCCAAAAUAGUGGUAACAAACUUCACUAGCCAUUGAAUAGUUUUUGGGCUACAGAGUUUUAAGAAUCCUGGGCAUCUCAUUCAUGCCUCUGGCUUUACCUUCCUUUAUGCAUCUCGUGUACAGUAAAAGGUUGGGAGAAGGAAGGGGAUGAUGCAAUGGAGCGUUUCUUUGCUUUUAAAUGUAAUUUCACUUGUUUUGUCAGAGCCUUAGACAGGGCAACAAUAUGACUGGCUAUUGCUUCCAGUCUAAUGUGGAUUUUGGGUCUUGAAACUUCAGUGCUUCAGCCCAGUCAGCAUAAUGGAACCCAGGCCCUUCCUACUUGAAUGUGUGAAAUUAAGAUUUUCCAUUGUAUGUAUUGUUUUUUCUCUUUGAGCCUUGUCCAGAGAUUGUAAGAGCUCAGUGGCAGUCAUAGAAUCACCAUUUUCUUUAAAUUUGUUAUAAAAAUGAUCGCUGUCUUCAUUCUACCAUGGUAUGUAUUCUUUUUAAAAUCCUCUUGGGAUACAUCUCUUAGCAGCUCCUUUUAUUACACCCAGGAAUCUCACAUAAUUUUUUCUUGUGGGUUUUAUCCAGCUUAUAUUCAAAUCAGUUUGUUUAGCAAAGGAGAUCCAGUCAGUUUUAUUAAAGUUCCACCUGGGCUUUGGAAUUGAUUUGAUGAUUGGAAUUUGAAUUCCAACUGUAUAUAAAAUUAGCCUAUGAUGAGUGUGUGGAAAGUUGUCAAGAACUUUGCGAUGUAUAGGAGGGCUGGGUUGUUGGGAGCUCUGUGUCAUUAACGCCUCAUGCUUCCUGAGGCUGGGGGGCAUGGCGACUGCUCGCAGGUGGCCACAGUGAUGUUGGCAGCAAGAGCGGGCUGAGCGGGGACCGAACUGCAGGUGGCUGCGGCAGUGUCAGCAGCAGUGAGGGGGGAGCAGUGGUGAGCGCUGAGUGGCAAUUGGCAACUGCCCUCAGAAGCUGCUGGCAGCGGCGGCCUAUCUCAGGGGGUGUGUGGCUAACCUUAGGGGGUGCAUGUGCAUGUGUGUGCACCCCCUAUGCAUUGCUAAUGCUCUGCAUCAUGAGACACAGAUCAGGUAUAUAGUCUUGUUGCCAGCAGGGUUAAGUGGAAAGUAACAAUGUCUUUCAUGUCGUAGACUAAUACAAGGUCCUCCCCCUCCAUCCAAUCUAGAACUUUAUUCCUAUUUUGGUCAUUGUGGUGAUAUCCCCAUAAACUGUGUUGACUAUUAAAGUCACCUGAGAUGAUGCUUGGGUGAUAUAAGGGAGGUAAGGCAAGGGUUGGCCAUACAAUAGCUGGUGGUUUAUGUACAUUAAUUAUUGUCAUGUCAGAAAUUUGGACUGAGAUUAUGUAAAUGUCUUCAGUACAGCUUGUUGAUGUGAUUUUAUAGUUGUUGAUGUUAUUUUUUAGUGUAAAUUGCCACAUCAUAGGUGGAAUGAUUAACAGAUACAGUUAGCCUGAAUCCAGAAACUCUCCCCUUAUUUUGUAGCUGAUGGUUAUUGGCAGUAUGAGUUUCUUGAAGGGCAAGGACAUCAAUGAAAUUUUCUGUCAAAAUUUUGGACAAAUAUUCAUUUUUGGCUCUGCUUAUCCCCUCAAUAUUGAAUUGUCAGAUGCACAGUGAGUUCCCAAUAUUAUGGGUCUGAAAGCUCUGCAAAGAUCUGUUGAUGUUUAUUUUGUUGACCUUACAGAAAUCUAUGCAGAGCCAUAGCAUUCUUUCUUCAGGACCGUCACAAGAGGGCUCCGCCACUCACUUAAUGACUCCUGAAUGAUGCCUCAGGCAAGCAUUUGGCAUACCUCCUCUUUCACUGCUGUCUGUAGUCACUGGAGAAUGCAUCUCCAACCUUCUCUUACUACCUUGUUGGGGUUUGUCUCUAUGUGGUGCUCAAUCAGUUGGGUGAACCCAAGUUACCCCGUGAGGACCUUUGGGAACUCCUGCACUACUUGCUUUAGCUUAGUCUGCUGGGUCUCAGAUAGCAGUGCAUCAAUGGUCCUGGGGAGGACCUUUCUUGUUCUUCUACCUGGGGCUUGCUGGUCCAGGUAGGAUGUCAUGAAUUAAGCCUCCCUUUCUCUCCACUUCAACAUAUUAAUGUGGUAUAUCUGAUGUGUCUUUCCUUCUAGGCUGCCACACUUCAUAGCCCACUGGCCUUCUCUUCUGUUUGACCUCACAUGCAUGCGUCAUGCCCUGCUGCCCAGAAUUGACAUCAAGAGGCUCCAGGAUCCACUGGUCGAUCCCAAUCAACUGAUUGGUGACCACUGCAAUGCGCGAACAUUAGAAGGGCCAGCAUUCUAUCCCAGCAUCUAGGAUCCUUCCCUAUGAUUUUUGUGGCAGGCUUGCUGGUAACAGUCCAGCACAUAGGACUCGGAGAAGCUUGAUUGUGAUUGGUGAAGCAUUCCCACCAAUCAGGUAUCUGCUGGAGAGGGGCUUGCCCUGCCCCCACCAAGGGUGAGGUGAAGAGCUCGAACCUGGUUGAAGACUGCACUCCACCUCAUCCCAAUUGGUCCAUUUACAGUCUGGGGGCGAAGCCUCCAGAGGGAAUAAAAGAGAGGCAUACUCAGCAUAUGGGCGGCUGCGAUGAGGGAUAAAGAAGAGAGCGGGCAAGGAAGAGCUGGCCAGCAGGGAGGAACAGUUGCCCUGAAGAGCCUGAAGACCUCUUUGCCAGAUGAGAGUGGCAAGUGACUGCCUCCCCAGCCCUGCCACUAGGAGCACAGUGUUGGUGCACAGCUCGGUGCAUGGUGCAAGACUCUGGGAGCUGCAUGAGGCAGCGUGGGUCUCCAACCCCUGACACGAGGCCAGGCACUCGGUGUAUGGCGGGUCUGGGAGCAGACCAAGACCCUGGGAGCCCUCAAGGGGCUCAGGUUUCCCACCCCUGGUACAGGCAGUAGGUAGAAGGCCGGUGUACAAGCAGUCCAGGAGCGGACUGAGCCCCCCAGAGCUGCACAAGAUGGCCAGGGUCUCCAACCCUGACCAAAAGGAUAAAGCCCUUGGUGCACAUGAUGGUGCACAGGGCCCUGAGCAGGCCAGCAGCCUAGAGGGAGCCUAAGGCAGCUGGGACCUUGGCAAAAGGGGCAGCAACUUGCCCAGGGAGAUGACCACCCACCAGGCCCCUGGAGGCAUGAGUUACUGGGGAAAGGGAUUCCCACAGGGGAAGGAAAAUUCACCAAGGGCCAGUGAAGCUGCCCCCCUGAAGGGAAGCCCAGGGAGGAGAAGGCUUCCUGGGUCUAGAGUUUUUUUCACUUGAGAGCUAUUUCAGUUGGGUUGUGGAAGGGUCUGAAGGGCACUGGGGAAUCUCUUCCUUGACACUCGAGUGCAGUCACUGCUCCAGAACAGCCUGGGCUCUGGGUGUCCCUGAAAGAUGGGGGUUAGUAUUGGUUGUUCUUGCGCCUUAUAUUUUGUAAGUUAGCGCCUCAUAUUUUGUGUAUUUGUAUUUCAUGAUUGUGAGCUUAUAUUUUAGCAGAGUUUAAUUUGCCAUAAUCUUUAUUGAAACCCUUAUACUCGUUCUUUCAUAUUGCUUACCUAUGUUCUGAGUGGUGGUAAAGAAUUAUAUGUGUAUAUAUAUUGCAUAUAGUUCAUGUUGUAUAUAUCUGUUUAUAUUUAUAUCUAUUUCUGUUAGGGUUUAUGGUAUCAAUACAUUUGUACAUCGUUAAGUUACUGGAGUGUCUUGGUUAGCUCUAUAGAGGAAGGAGGGAAACUGUGCUCAGCCUGCAGUUUCUACCCACAGCACACCUGCCCUGCUAACAAUCCCCUUCAAUUGGAGAAGGGAGUACAUACCCGAGUAUACCCGGGCUACAUUUUCUUUAUCAUUGCUUUCAAGGUUCCACUGCACCGCUCUACUAAUCCAUCCGUUUGAGGGUGAUAAAUGGAGAUCUGCAGCCUCUUAAUGUGCAGUAUUUUGCAGACUUCGCAGUACAUGAAAUGAAAUCUAUGAGAGCCCAUAAACUCAGUUGCCUACAUGAAAUUAUUUUUCCCUCCAUUAUUUCAAAGCUGAAAAAAAUGUUACAGUCGGAACAAAAUUUGAAUUUAUACUGACCUACCUGGAUAGCAGAUGUAUAACGGCCAAAAUAAUUUCCUAUUUCAGACACUAACAAGAUGGAUACUUAAAAGAACUACAGAGAAAGUUCCAACAAGAAUUAUUCAGAUUGUACAGGAAAAUAAAUUCGCAAAAGUAACUAAGAAAAUUUUUCUACAGAUCCAGUAUAGAAACAGAAUUGACAGCACCACAUUUGGUAUAGACAUUACAAAUAGAUGACUCUAAAGAAAUUAGAAAAAAAUCUGCAUUUGAGUUGAGAGAAAAAUAAAAUGAUGAAAAUGAUAUGGAGGACUAAAGACUUUCUGCGUUUAUGGUGGGAUUGCCUUAUUUCAGAGGAAAACAAAUAGAUUUUUCAAUUCUGAUUAAGUUACUUGCAGAACCAUCAGUGAUUCUAUCUAUUUACAGUCCAAAAGGGUAUUAGUGACAUGAGGGUGUGUUGCUAACACAAUUACUAUAAAGCAGUCCAGUGUAUGACAACUCGAUUGAGGAAAGGAGAAAGCCCCAGCACUAUUGGCAUGGAAAAGGGCAGACUGAAUUAAAUACUUUUUUUCCCCAUUUUUGGAAUUUGAAUAGAACAUCUACAUAGAUAAUGCCAAGAAGUUGACCAGCAAAAAUGGAACUUUUCAAUGGAACAAAUAAGGAUUAAAAAAUAAACGUAUUUUUUUAACACUUA